UGGUUUUGUCAUAAGGCUCGUGCUAUUUUGUGAAUUCUCGCCGGAUCAUCAGUGAAUAUCACUAUCUUCAGCUUCUGUUUACUGCAGCUUCUGAAUAUUGUAAAUUUUACAGGCUUAAAAGGAUGAUGCCAGAGGCUCUCAGCGUCUGGACUUGGUUAAAAUUUGUGGUGCAGAGAAAAGAGGAAGGAGGUGGAGUGGAAAUGAAGAUCUCCAUCUGAGCAGUGCCCUUCAUCUCCUGUGCCACCAUGAGGAACAGUCUCUUCAGACAACUAGCCUCAACAAGUAUGCCAAGACUAUUUAGGUGGUGAAAUAUUUGGAAUAAGAUUUGAGGUUGGUGCAUUCUUCCACCCUGCCGGAUGAACAGAGUGGUCCAGCAGCCUUGAGGGGAAGCACACGAAAUGUGACGUCUUUCCUGGAUCCUCUUUGUUCUCAGGAUGUCUGGAUGGGUGCCUCAUCCUACAGACUCAGCAAUUGCUUCAGAGGUUUGCUACUGUGAGACUAUGCUGGAAGUGAUCCAGAAGAGCAGUACAGGGCAUACUGGAGAAGCCACAGAUGCCUGUACUUCCCAUUGCAGGCAGAAGAAAAAUUCCUCUUCUGCCCUUGCUACUGAGGUUCCCAGAGCAUGAGUAGUGCAUUCUCUUGCCAGUGAAAUAUGGUCAGAAGAGGCACAGACAUCUGCAGAUGAAAGCUCCAAAUAUGAAGAGGGAAAAUCUGACCUAAGUUUUGAGAAGAAAUGCACUUGUCCCUGCUGUUUCACCCACUGUUGUGUUUAUCAGAGUGGAGCAUGCCCAGAGCCUGUGGGAAAGCCCCUGGCAGCCCCAGGCAGCACCAGCACGGGUGCAGGAGCUGUGGCUGGCUUCUUGGCUGGGCUCUG
rnacentral:lncRNA from 1 species